AGCCUCAUUCUACUGAAAAUGGGCACUUGUUCAUGGUGUCCAUAAAACUGUUAAUGUGGCUACAUUGAGAACACAGGUUUUGCUUCCAUCACUGUAAUUUUAUUGCAGUGGUGACAAUGAGACCUGUAACAUUU
rnacentral:snoRNA from 8 species